CCAUCCACAAUGUUGUUCAUGCUAUUAUUCUGCAUCAACAGCAACAACAACAACAACAACAACAACAACAACCGUUGAGCCAGGUCUCCUUCCAACAGCCUCAACAACAAUAUCCAUCAGGCCAGGGCUCCUUCCAGCCAUCUCAGCAAAACCCACAGGCCCAGGGCUCUGUCCAGCCUCAACAACUGCCCCAGUUUGAGGAAAUAAGGAACCUAGCGCUAGAGACGCUACCUGCAAUGUGCAAUGUCUAUAUCCCUCCAUAUU
rnacentral:lncRNA from 1 species